rnacentral:rRNA from 1 species
UACGAAGGGGGCUAGCGUUGCUCGGAUUGACUGGGCGUAAAGGGCGCGUAGGCGGUUCGUACAGUCAGACGUGAAAUUCCUGGGCUCAACCUGGGGGCUGCGUUUGAUACGUGCGGACUUGAGUGCGGAAGAGGGUCGUGGAAUUCCCAGUGUAGAGGUGAAAUUCGUAGAUAUCAAGCAGAACACCUGCGGCGAAGGCGGCCUUCUGGACGAUGACUGACGUUGAAGCGCGAAAGCGUGGGGAGCAAACAGG